UACGGGGGGGAGCAAGCGUUGUUCGGAUUUACUGGGCGUAAAGGGCGCGUAGGCGGUCAGCACAAGUCAGUUGUGAAAUCUCCGGGCUUAACUCGGAAAGGUCAACUGAUACUGUGCGACUAGAGUGCAGAAGGGGCAACUGGAAUUCUCGGUGUAGCGGUGAAAUGCGUAGAUAUCGAGAGGAACACCUGCGGCGAAGGCGGGUUGCUGGGCUGACACUGACGUUGAUGCGCGAAGGCCAGGGGAGCAAACGGG
rnacentral:rRNA from 1 species